CCUACGGGAGGCAGCAGUGAGGAAUAUUGGUCAAUGGGCGCGAGCCUGAACCAGCCAAGUAGCGUGAAGGAUGACUGCCCUACGGGUUGUAAACUUCUUUUAUAAAGGAAUAAAGUGAGGCACGUGUGCCUUUAUGUAUGUACUUUAUGAAUAAGGAUCGGCUAACUCCGUGCCAGCAGCCGCGGUAAUACGGAGGUUCCGAGCGUUAUCCGGAUUUAUUGGGUUUAAAGGGAGCGUAGAUGGGUUGUUAAGUCAGUUGUGAAAGUUUGCGGCUCAACCGUAAAAUUGCAAUUGAUACUGGCAGUCUUGAGUACAGUUGAGGUAGGCGGAAUUCGUGGUGUAGCGGUGAAAUGCUUAGAUAUCACGAAGAACUCCGAUUGCGAAGGCAGCUUACUAAGCUGCCACUGACAUUGAUGCUCGAAAGUGUGGGUAUCAAACAGGAUUAGAUACCCCAGUAGUC
rnacentral:rRNA from 1 species